rnacentral:rRNA from 1 species
AUGGUUGAGCAUGGGAUUCUCCCAUCGACCACGGCGACGUAUGAUGACUUGAAUGACUUUUGCCACCAUAUUGAGAGUGAGAGUGACUUCACCACUAGCCCCAUAUAUGAUGAGCCGCCCCAAUUCCCAUGUGAGGAGAGCCACCACCACCACCACUUGAGUGAUUUGAGUGCCUCCACCAUAUGCGACAUUGAGUGCACCUACCUUGAGGGAGUGAGUGAGCCACCGCCACAUAGAGAGAGUGAGAUAGUUGAUGAGGCAUAUGAGGCCAUUUCGGUUUCUAACAAAUUAACCUCUACCUCUAUUGUGUCUUCUCAUUUGGUGCUAGGUCCCAUAUAUGAUGACGCGCCGAUCCUCGAUGACUUUGUCCUCCCUUUGGACAUGACGAUGGCCAUGGUGGACUAUGAUGCACCCCCACAUGGUUCCAUCAUGAUGAAGAUGAACACAAUUUGGUCUUCCCCACCUCACCUACACCACUUGAGUGGAACGACAAAGGUAACAUAG